rnacentral:lncRNA from 1 species
UGCUAGAGGAGCUGAUAUUUCUACAUCCUGAUCUGAAGACAGCCAGGAGGAGACUCUCUCUUCCAUACUGGGCAGAGCUUGAGGACUAGGAGCCCUCAAAGCCCUCCAAUACAGUGAUGCACUUUUUCCAACAAGGCUACGCCUAUUCCAACAAGGCCACACCUCUUAAUGGUGGCACUACCCAGGGGCCAAGCAUAUUCAAACCACCACAGUAUGCUCUUAGCAUUGUCCUGGCCGUGGACAGCUGGGGUAGAAAUCAGGAGGCAUAGGACACAGCUGUUAGAAUCACAAGUGAGGGCCUAGUGGGUCUCCCCAGCCCCUAGCAUGAAGGAAUGUCAACAGAUCCCAUUCUGAGGGAGGCUUGUAGGUGAUCACAGCUGCUCAGAUUAAGAACGUAAUCGCUAUUGAGCUCAGAGGACAAUAGUCUACGCACUCCUCAACAGUAUAAUUAUGAAGACAUUACACUGUUUUUGCUGGAGACUGGAGUAAAAUCACGUAAUUUUCAAUACAAUCUUAAGUGAAAAAAAUCAGAACCCAAGAGUGUCUAUAUACUCUACCACCAUGGGGAACAUAGCUAUAAUUAGCCUGGGCCGUAACUGACAAACAGGUUGUUAAAUAUGCACCAGCUGAACUUGGAGAAGGAGGGUGUUGUCGAUUCACCAAGCUGCUCAGGCAAGAAGGCAAAGAAAGAAAAGACCACAUUGAUAACCAUGACUGCUAUAGAAGGCAUGGCUCUUCUCCACCAAGAGCAUCAGAUGGAUUUCAAAAUGGCCCAGGCAGCCAAGAGCAGAGCUGAAUGUGCCCAGAGCUUCAAAGGUGUAGGCCGUCUCCCUACUCCACACAGUGUGUGGCUUCUGUGAAAGCUGUGUUUGUGGUCAGUGGGAGAAAGCAGGAACAAGAGAGCAGCCAUGUCCCAGUGACGCUGACCAUCUAGGAAACCUGCAGAAGGGCACUCACAAGUGCAUGUUUCCGAGCAUGUGAAAGGACCCAUGAAAUGGAUCUAGGCAGAAGCCUGCUCUCCAGAGGAGUAAGUCCAUGUCCUACCUUGAAGAAGCAGCCCACUCACUCAGCACAGGUCACCUCAGAUGUCUUCCGAUUCAAGCUCCCCCCAAUACCUUCCUUCAACUUCAGAUCCUUACUCAUGGCUGUCCCCCAUCUGGCUAUGUUUAUCUCUACAAUGGAGCCCUAAAAUGAAGGGAGGCCCCUUCAUUUUUUUAUAUAACAUAUUUUUAUGUACUAUAUUGUACAAUAACCAUUUUGAAGAUCAAAGAAUGGAACUGUAAGUAACACUGUGUUAUCAAAACCCCUUCCUUGGGAGAGGCAAAAAUAGCACCUACCCUCCUCCUCAGGUCCCAGUGACAAACCACGGAGCAAGUCCUCCAGCACUCACUGGGAACCCAGGAGUGUGUCAGGUCAAUGGGGGAUGUUACAGACAGGGGCAUAGGUGAUCUUAACCAGCCACUCUAGAAGGUCUGCACCCGGGAGGAAUGGUUGCUUCCCCAUAGCUGAGUAGAUGGAGCCUCCUCCCCUCAUCCUUCCCAACCUACAUCCUCUAGCUCAUCCCAAAAGACCCCACCGCCACAUGCAGUUAGGGAAGAAUUGCAAACAGCUGGUUGGGGAUGUGUGUGGCUGGACCUUCCCUGCCCUCUCCUCCUAUGAAGAAUGGUAAAC